rnacentral:tRNA from 1 species
GUCAGUGUAGUGUAAUGUUUGAGCAUUGGACUAGGACUCUGGAGACCAGAGUUCAAAUCCCUGCUCUGCA